AAGACUCUGAUAUCUCCAACACAUUUGAUGUCAUCAUUGCAAGUGACUGCACUUUCUUCAAAGAAUUCCAUGGAGCACUUGUCCGAACUAUCAAAUCAUUGUUAAAAAAGGAAGGUCCUUCUGAAGCCAUACUUUUCAGCCCCAGAAGAGGCAACUCAUUGGACAAGUUUCUCGGAGAAGUUAAAGAUAGCGGAUUGCAUUUCAGCACAGACGAAAUGUAUGACACAGAAGUUUGGAGGCGUCAUCAGGGAUUUGUCGAAGGUGAUGAUUCCUGGCCAAAUUAUGAGAUGGAUCAUUGCUAUCCUUUACUGGUCAGAAUUACGCGAUGAAGAUUUGAAAAUGCAGGUUAUACUGUGUCUAGUAUGCUUAUUUUGUACAUACAAAACCAUCAAAAGCUAGCUCAGAUCUUAUAUACUAUGAUAUAUGAACUGAUUCCACUAUGGACAAGUCACUGAUUAUUAUCAGUUUAUCAAAAUUUUG
rnacentral:misc_RNA from 1 species